ensembl:lncRNA
AAAUGAGAAAGCACCAUUUUAUAUGGACUCAAGUAACUGAUAAACCAUUGAGGGCUGGGGAACGUCUAAUUUGCAGGGAUUUCUAUUGUCCCCCAUUGCUCAACCGAGACACACCCCUCUGCCUUCACUCCUCCCUUCGCUGUAAUCUCUGCCACUUCCUUCACCUCCUCCGUCAGACACUGCUCCAUUCGUGUUGACUGCCCAGAGUCCACGGAUUUGAUCUGUGGAAAAUAACCUCCACCUCCAGGCACCCAGCUCCGUGCUGUUAUCCAUGUCGUAACUUGAUUACGCGGCCCAAGCCCUGAACCAGGUGGCCUGAGAACAGAAGCCUUCAUUGUUUAAAUGGGAACGCGCGUGAACUGGAGAGAACGGCGUAGAACAGCCGUAGGACCUACGUCUUGCAUGAUAUGAAAAAAAUAUGCAUUGAUGGAAUUUUAUCUGAAUUGUUGAUAUUUCACCAUGCGGUCGCUACAUGGUCAGGUGAUUGCAAUUGUAGACAGGAUGUAUCCAGAGAACAAGGCAUGUCCCAUGUCCACUAGCCAGGAUGUGUUUCCCUUAGAAGCAAGGAAGUUCAUUCGACGCUCAGCUGUGGGGCGAAAAUCAUGGCAUGUUUGCAUAGUAGAAAGACCAAUGUUAAUGAAGCCAAUAUUGACCAAAGGAGGUCUUAUAUCUAAACCUGUAACGACUGACCGGUUCAUAGCAUACAGAUGCUUUGUCUAGUGGUGCUGGGGAUAUGGGCGGAGUUCCCUUUCAAUUCUAUUAUGUUCUAUAUGUGAGCAGAGUGACCAGAAAGGUGAAAACACGGUAAAGUAGGGGAGGAAGCAAUACGUGUUUGACAAUUGGGCACUGAUGGGAUGUAAUUAGGAUGUCUAUAAAUACACCUGGGCUUCCAUGACGUGGGAUCUCUUUGGGGCUUUCGAGAGCAGGGAACUCAGAACGCUGGGGCUGUAGAGCGACGUCGGGUGUCUGUCUUAAUUUAAACUACAUCGUGACUCAAGGCGUUGGCCGCAGCUGGGGGAUCGGAGACGUUUGCUGCAGCCGGGGAAUCAGAGCGAUCGGCGGGCGUGCAGCGGGGAUAAGGGGGAACGGCAGACACGCACCGACCCUUGACUCCAGCUCCAGCGUGUGGCCACUGUUUUCUUCUCUCCCUCUCUAUAGUUUGUGUGCGCGUGCGCAUACCGGCGAGUGGGAAUGUGUUGGUGCGCGUGAGUGACUGUGGCCGCAUACCGGCGGGUUGGUGCGUGUGAAGGACCGUGUCCGUAGGAGAAUAUAGGGAUAAGGUGGGGUUAUUUAUUGGGCAAGUACAAUUGGGUGGGAUGGGCAGUUAGGCUCUGGUCUCUUUAUUCGAUAGGCUGUAUUUGUGGUCCCUUGUGUUUGGUUUGUAGAGUAAUACUGUUUUGGAGUGUUUUGCUUUGCGUGCUUUAUGUUUGGUUUGUUACUUUCUUUUCUUUAUUUUAUGAGUGCUGUGAUUUGCUUUGACCAUAUGCUACAGUUCUAUUAUUGUGAGGCUAGUGGUCCCCUGUUCUGUCAACUAUCAAAUUGUGCAUGUCUUAUACUUCCCUUAUCAUCCUGUGUGCCUGUGGGCCUUACUUUUAAAACCAAAAGAACCAAGAAAUAAAUAAUUUUGUACUAGAUCACCUGUGCCGAUACAAUCCUUCGAUACCAGCGGGGAGGUAGAUUUCUUGGGUUGGGGUGCCUCUGGACGUACAGGGGCUGGCGUUGUCUAUACUAGGUAGCAAGGGUCACAUAAACAUUCUAUAAAUUCUGUAACCUGUGAGGUGUUCAUUAAAAGGUCACUACCC